GGAAGUGUGCGAUGGGUGCGCGGCCGCUUUCAGAAGCGAAACCGUGCCUGUACGCAGGGCUGGGACGUGGGGCAGCGCCCGGCCCCGCUGCAGGGUGAGCGCGUGGCAGCACGGCUCAGUGGGCAGCGGAGGCUCGCGGGAACACGGCUGCGGGGCCGGGCUCCUGCUGAGGGUGCGGGGAUGCAACGUGCGGGAUGGGGAUGCCCGCAGGACCCGGGCAUCGCUCCCGCCCCGCUGUGCUCGUGUUGCAGAGCUCCGGCCCUGCCCUGCUCUCGUGAGAGCACCAACACGGCCUCCCCAACAGCCCCAGGAGGCAGCAGCAGCCCCACAGCAGGGCUCGGCAGGACUGGGACUACAGCUCUGCCAGCAGCACCCGGCGGCACUGCCGCACAGCUCCGGGCCCAGCUGAGAGGCCCCGACCUCAGCCACUGCAGGGAGCUCUUCAACGCGUGUGCUCUGCCCACUGCCAACGGAGGCGUCCUCAGAAGUGGAGAUCCUGCCAGCAAGCGCAGGGUGAGAGCCAGCUCACUCAGGUUUGCUUCUCAGAACGCCCGUGAAAAGGCUGUGGAUGUGCGUGGAGAUGCAUACAUGUACAGUUAUCAUCUGAGUUUCUGUAACUGCUUUCUGCCCUCUUCCGUUUGUAUCUCCCUGCGAGUUUGUUUACAGCUCUCUCCCCCAUGGCACUCUGCGGGGCCGGGGCGCAGUGAGCGAACGGCCGGGUGCUGCUCAGCUGCCUGCCGGGUGAAACCACAGCGCGUGGCAGCGUGCCUGCACCUGUGUGCCUGUGGGGACACGCGGCCCUCCUUGUCCUUCCACUGCAGCGCAGCGCUCACGGGAGCCAUCCCACCUCACCUCUGUCAGCUGCUGUCACUGUGGGCAGCGCCCAGAGCCCAUGGGGAUGUCUCUGAAAUCCAGCUUUGCCCCACAGCCCCGGGGGAUGGCUGACGGACUCAGGUGGAGGAGCCAAGAAUGCAAGUGAGUUUCUGCAGAGUUCUGGGCUUUUAAUGUUUAUUAAAAGAGGUACUCAUAAGGAGGGAGCUACAGGAAGAUAAUUAAAAAAAAGCUGUUGA